UCAGGUGGCUGGACGGCCGCUGGCAUCGCCGCAAGGCGGUGCUGGAGGAAAGUCCGGGCUCCACGGGAAUAGGAUGCCGGUUAAUGGCCGGCGAAGGUUGCGCCGCGAGGCGUGGUCUUCAGGGAAAGUGCCACAGAAAACAAACCGCCGGGCAGCCGCGAGGCUUUCCGGCAAGGGUGAAACGGUGCGGUAAAAGCGCACCGCGCCCUCGGCAACGGGGGCGGCAGGGCAAACCCCAUCCGGAGCAAGGCCGAAUAGGGGUGGCCGGCGGCGUCGGUUUCGACCGACGUGACGCAGGGGCAUUUCCGCCCCGUCACCCGGGUUGGCUGCAGGAGGCGCGCCGCAAGGCCCGUCCCAGAGGAAUGGUCGUCCCGUCGCCGGUUCGCCGGCGGCGGACAGAACCCGGCUUAUAGGCCACCUGACGCA
rnacentral:RNase_P_RNA from 1 species